GACCCCAUAGUUAAGUUGGAUAUAACGAGGCCUUCCUAAGGCCCAGUCAGGGGUUCAAGUCCCUUUGGGGUCGCCA
rnacentral:tRNA from 1 species